GGACCGGAGCGCUGGGGUCAGAAGGCAUCUGCCUCCAGGAGAAACUGGCAACCUCGACGAUUCCUCCCACCCGACCCCUCCCAGUGGAGGGGGUCCGCGGCAAAGACAACAACCCCUACUCAACCUCCGCCGCAGGGAGGGGUCCGGCCGGCCUGGGGCAGGAAUGUCAGGUGCAGAGACGCCUAUUCCGAGGGUGACUUCAACUUCGUGAGCAAGUUAAACAAAUUGAAACUGUCUCCUGAGACGCUUUCCCUCUCUCAUUAGAACAAUGUAACUUAAAAAAAUCUACACACAAAAGGAACAGCUCAGACUGAAUUAAUGCAGGUGAGAAAAAUGAAUUCGAAAAGAUAGAUCUUGGGGCUUCCCUGGUGGCGCAGUGGUUAAGAAUCCGCCUGCCAAUGCAGGGGACAUGGGUUCGAGCCCUGGUCCGCGAAGAUCCCGCAUGCCAUGGAGCAACUAAGCCUGUGCGCCACAACUACUGAGCCUGCACUCGAGAGCCCACGAGCCAAAACUACUGAAGCCUGCGCGCCUAGAGCCUGUGCUCUGCAACAAAGAGAAGCCACCACAAUGAGAAGCCCGCGCACCACAUCGCAGAGUAACCCCUGCUCGCCGCAACUGGAGAAAGCCUGCGUGCAGCAACGAAGACCCAAUGCAGCCAAAAUUAAAUAAAUCAAUAAAUAAAAUUUUAAAAAAA